rnacentral:rRNA from 1 species
GACGAACGCUGGCGGCGUGCUUAACACAUGCAAGUCGAACGGAAAGGCCCUGCUUUUGUGGGGUGCUCGAGUGGCGAACGGGUGAGUAACACGUGAGUAACCUGCCCUUGACUUUGGGAUAACUUCAGGAAACUGGGGCUAAUACCGGAUAGGAGCUCCUGCUGCAUGGUGGGGGUUGGAAAGUUUCGGCGGUUGGGGAUGGACUCGCGGCUUAUCAGCUUGUUGGUGGGGUAGUGGCUUACCAAGGCUUUGACGGGUAGCCGGCCUGAGAGGGUGACCGGCCACAUUGGGACUGAGAUACGGCCCAGACUCCAACGGGAGGCAGCAGUGGGGAAUAUUGCACAAUGGGCGGAAGCCUGAGGCAGCAACGCCGCGGUCGGGAUGACGGUCUUCUGGUUGUAAACCGCUUUCGCCUGUGACGAAGCGUGAGUGACGGUAAUGGGUAAAGAAGCACCGGCUAACUACGUG